rnacentral:tRNA from 1 species
GGCUCUGUGGUGUAGUGGUAGCAUACUUGCUUUGGGUAUUCGUUACUUGCAAGUGGUCCCAGGUUCGAGCCCUGGCUGAGCCC